AUGCUGCAGUAUGUAUGCCAGGCCAGAGGUGGCGCUGAAGAGCUGCUUUAUGAAAGCACCGUUUGAUGUAAACAUUGACUACCUCUAUAUACGCUGACGACGAACUUCCGCUUUGGAAUCCAAGCCCAAAUCGCAACCAAGCUGUGCAUCGACGUUGUUCUUUCAAGCCAUAUAUUUGGAGUCCCCUCCGAGACCUUUUUCAACACCACAUGCAAGUAGAGUGAUAUUGCACAAGUCAACAUGACACCUCUGCUGAUUUCUGCUGCAUGCGACAUCACAACAAAUCAGCCUCAACGUCGUCUCGUCAAUAUUUCCAUUACCAGUCAGACAGCAGCCUCUUGUCAGACAUGUUUUUCUACUUGUACUUUCUCAUCUUUUCUGCUUUGUUUCACGUUGUGAUCACAUUUUCUGAUGAAGUUGCUUCAGUACUGUCAACGUCCCAAAGGGAGGUGGAAUAAAUGCAAUUUAUAACGCGGCUUGUUUUCCAAUCGUCUCUCUUCUCGCGUUCAAUCGCGAGCCAACACUGAGCCGGCGCUAAAUAAACACUAGCAGCGGAGAUAACUCGGGCUGAAGAGCAAAUACGCCCUACCGAGAGAGUUCAUGCAGGAUUUAUAGCGUUCUGUUGAACGUUAGGGUUAGCAUUUCAAGUUGAUCGAUUCUCUGAGUUCAAAUUGUAAUCAAAGGUUUUAAAGUAGUUUCAUGGACAAGAGCUAAAUUCAUUUUUUUUAAAAAUGCUAUUUUGAUUGAUGCUUGGACCAAACUCACACAACCGUUAAUCCAAGGCACACCCCGAAUCUUUUCUCUAAAGUCUGCUCUCGAAUCCAGUUGGGUUCUUUCCCCUUACGAUAAAUUGUAACAACAACAAGACGGUCAUUGGAGUACCAGUCCCAGGGAGGAGAUGAAGCAACUCAGGUCAGUCCCUCUUUCGGAGGUCAAUAGGUACGAUCGCUUCAGCCUGGCGGAACCUCUAUCAGGGGGUUGGCAAUCAAUGCAAAUUGACCAUUGGAAGUCGAACUUUGAGUUCAAAACAUUUCGAAUGGACAUUUUCCGGGUGUUAGUUUUUCUUCCAUUCAAAACAUGCAGACAAAUUUAAAGUGAGAUGAGGAAAAAAAGUUGAUUGUUUCAAAUGAUCUCAUU